UCUUCAAAAAGAACAUACUAUAUGAAAAUUUUGAUCACAAUCAAUUGUUUAUGAUGUUUUGUGCAUUGAACGAUCACGUCACUUUAAAUCCUUUUUUUCUCACGAUGUAGAAGAAUGUGUUGCACGCACCGCGAAUACAAUUUCGCUUCUGCGACUGCAAAAAUGUUUUCCGUUCUGCUCUUUGCGAUGAAAUCUCGUAGACUUUCACAUCCGUAUGCGCGAACUUCGUGGCCUAAUCAUCGUAUUCUAAAUCCCAUGACGGAUGAUGCGAGUGAAACAAAAGCAGAGUGAACAUAUGUAUAUUACUGAAGGAUGCACAUUUCAAAAUGACAACAAAAAUAAAAUGACGCUAAAAGGAAAGCACAUUUCGUUAGAAUUUCAGAGAUCCAGAAUGUAUACCUAGGGUUAAUUCUUCAGUACGUGCAAAUUUUUCGUACGUGCAAAAAUUCUUGAAUUUCGAAUACAUCUAAACAUUGUAAAUCUUCAAAUUAUUGAAUUAAAAAAUUCCUUAUGAUCUUUUGAUCAUCCUAGAUUUUAAAA